rnacentral:rRNA from 1 species
AGGAAAAGAAACCAACAGGGAUUGCCCCAGUAACGGCGAGUGAAGCGGCAACAGCUCAAAUUUGAAAUCUGGCCCCCCGGCCCGAGUUGUAAUUUGGAGAGGAUGCUUCUGGCGCGGCGCCGUCCGAGUUCCUUGGAACAGGACGCCACAGAGGGUGAGAGCCCCGUACGGACGGACGCCUAGCCUCUACGAAGCUCCUUCGACGAGUCGAGUAGUUUGGGAAUGCUGCUCAAAAUGGGAGGUAAAUUUCUUCUAAAGCUAAAUACCGGCCAGAGACCGAUAGCGCACAAGUAGAGUGAUCGAAAGAUGAAAAGCACUUUGAAAAGAGGGUUAAAAAGUACGUGAAAUUGUUGAAAGGGAAGCGCCUGUGACCAGACUUGCGCCCCGCGGACCACCCGGCGUUCUCGCCGGUGCACUCUGCGGUGCGCAGGCCAGCAUCGGUUCUCCCAGGGGGACAAAGGCCGCGGGAACGUAGCUCCUUCGGGAGUGUUAUAGCCCGCGGCGGCAUGCCCCUGGGGGGACCGAGGACCGCGCUUCGGCAAGGAUGCUGGCGUAAUGGUCACCAGCGACCCG